rnacentral:pre_miRNA from 1 species
GUACUACUCCCUCCGUCCCAAAAUUCUUGUCUUAGGUUUUUCUAAAUAUGGAUGUAUCUAGUUACAUUUUAGUGUUAAAUACAUCUGUAUCUAGACAAAUUUAAGACAAGAAUUUUGGGACGAAGGGAGUAGUUU